rnacentral:pre_miRNA from 1 species
GUAAUACUUUCUCCGUUCCGAAUUACUUGUCGCAGGUAUGGAUGUAUUUAGAUGUAUUUUAGUUUUAGAUACAUUCAUUUCUGCGACAAGUAAUUUGAAACGGAGGGAGUAUAAU